GUCUAUGGUCAUGCCACCCUGAACAAGCCCAAUCCCAUUUGAUCUCAGAAGCUAAGCAGGGUCAGGCCUGGUUAGUACCUGGUUAGUACCUAGGAAGACCAGAUGCUAUAGGUG
rnacentral:rRNA from 1 species